rnacentral:rRNA from 1 species
AUGAACGCUAGCUACAGGCUUAACACAUGUCAAGUCGAGGGGUAGCAGGGUAGCAAUACCGCUGACGACCGGCGCACGGGUGAGUAACACGUAUCCAACCUUCCCAUAACUCAGGGAUAGCCUUUCGAAAGAAAGAUUAAUACCUGAUAGUACUUUUUCAAGGCAUCUUGAGAAAGUUAAAGAUUUAUUGGUUAUGGAUGGGGAUGCGUUCCAUUAGAUAGUUGGUGAGGUAACGGCUCACCAAGUCUUCGAUGGAUAGGGGUUCUGAGAGGAAGGUCCCCCACAUUGGUACUGAGGCACGGACCAAACUCCUACGGGAGGCAGCAGUGAGGAAUAUUGGUCAAUGGGCGAGAGCCUGAACCAGCCAAGUAGCGUGAAGGAAUGAAGGUCCUAUGGAUUGUAAACUUCUUUUAUAGUAGAAUAAAGUGAUCCACGUGUGGAUUUUUGUAUGUAUACUAUGAAUAAGGAUCGGCUAACUCCGUGCCAGCCGCCGC